UACGUAGGCAGCGAGCGUUGUUCGGAAUUACUGGGCGUAAAGAGUGUGUAGGCGGUGCUCUAAGUUCGGUGUGAAAUCUCCUGGCUCAACUGGGAGGGUGCGCCGGAAACUGGAGUGCUUGAGCGUGGGAGAGGAAAGCGGAAUUCCUGGUGUAGCGGUGAAAUGCGUAGAUAUCGUGAGGAACACCAGAGGCGAAGGCGGCUACCUGGACAAUUGCUGACGCUCAGGCACGAAAGCGUGGGGAGCAAAAGGG
rnacentral:rRNA from 1 species